GGAUUGACACAUCGGUCGUGCCUUAAGGGGUAUGAACUGUCACAGUUGAUUUCUCACCUUCUGGAGAAGCUUGAUGUCCUUAAUUGGGUGUCAUGUGGAACCAGGACCUUUACCUUGAAAAAAUUAGAGUAUUUAAAGCAGGCAUUUUGCUUGAAUACAUUAGCAUGGAAUAAUAGAAUAGGAUGGCAUGGUUCUAUUUUGUUGGUUUCUAGGAUCACUGUA
rnacentral:rRNA from 1 species